rnacentral:lncRNA from 1 species
GGGUAGCAGACAAUAAGGGAGGACAAAAAAUAGAGCAAGGAUAUUCUAAGAAUAAAAAGAGAAUGAAUAACAAGCAAAAAUGGCUUACAAGGAGGAAUAAAUACAAAAAGGAUAAAUAUGGGCAUAUUCUCGGGGAGGUGGAUGAAAAUAAAGAAGAUGGUGUCUAAGUUUCUAAUGAGUUUGAAGCAUUACAAAAUGAUGGUGAAGAAGGAGAUGUUAUUGAAGCACAAUAGAAGGAGGGCAUGAAGAGUGAUACCAUAAAGAAAGAAAGCACCAAAGAUUGGGUUAAUAGUUCCUUUGGUAAAGAUCAGGGGAAAUAAAAUACUCAAGAUGAAGACAAUGAG